rnacentral:rRNA from 1 species
AUGCACGCUGGCGGCGUGCCUCAUCCAUGCAAGUCGAGCGAACAGACGAGGAGCUUGCUCCUCUGACGUUAGCGGCGGACGGGUGAGUAACACGUGGAUAACCUACCUAUAAGACUGGGAUAACUUCGGGAAACCGGAGCUAAUACCGGAUAAUAUAUUGAACCGCAUGGUUCAAUAGUGAAAGACGGUUUUGCUGUCACUUAUAGAUGGAUCCGCGCCGCAUUAGCUAGUUGGUAAGGUAACGGCUUACCAAGGCAACGAUGCGUGGCCGACCUGAGAGGGUGAUCGGCCACACUGGAACUGAGACACGGUCCAGACUCCUACGGGAGGCAGCAGUAGGGAAUCUUCCGCAAUGGGCGAAAGCCUGACGGAGCAACGCCGCGUGAGUGAUGAAGGUCUUCGGAUCGUAAAACUCUGUUAUUAGGGAAGAACAAAUGUGUAAGUAACUAUGCACGUCUUGACGGUACCUAAUCAGAAAGCCACGGCUAACUACGUG